GUGCCAGCCGCCGCGGUAACACGUAGGGGACGAGCGUUGUCCGGAUUCAUUGGGCGUAAAGCGCGCGUAGGCGGCUCGGAAAGUCGGGUGUGAAAGUCCGGGGCUCAACCCCGGGACUGCAUCCGAUACUUCCGGGCUGGAGGUAGGUAGGGGAGAUCGGAAUUCCUGGUGUAGCGGUGAAAUGCGCAGAUAUCAGGAGGAACACCGGUGGCGAAGGCGGAUCUCUGGGCCUUACCUGACGCUGAGGCGCGAAAGCUAGGGGAGCGAACAGGAUUAGAAACCCCAGUAGUCC
rnacentral:rRNA from 1 species